CUUCCUCCGGUUCAAUUUAUAUAUGCGAAUCCUUUCCUUCUCUGCCUCCGGGUCGGCGAGAAUUCCAUCCCAACGCAGGCUUUCGUUGACCUGCUUGGCGAGGUGCUCUUCUAUUUCAGCGACAGAGCGGAGACUUCGAGUGGAGGAGUAAGGGGGCGUGGGCUUGCUUUCAGCUUUGUCCUGCUUGCGCUCUGGCCUCGGGCCGGGGUCUUUGUGGGGACUUAAGAUGUCGUGGAAGGAUGAGGACAGCUGCCGAUUCUUCAGGCCUCGACUCUGAUGUUUAUCUGCUGAGCAGAUGA
rnacentral:lncRNA from 1 species